rnacentral:rRNA from 1 species
GACGAACGCUGGCGGCGUGCUUAACACAUGCAAGUCGAACGCUGAAGCUUGGUGCUUGCACUGGGUGGAUGAGUGGCGAACGGGUGAGUAAUACGUGAGUAACCUGCCCUUGACUCUGGGAUAAGCCUGGGAAACUGGGUCUAAUACUGGAUACGACAUGUCACCGCAUGGUGGUGUGUGGAAAGGGUUUUACUGGUUUUGGAUGGGCUCACGGCCUAUCAGCUUGUUGGUGGGGUAAUGGCUCACCGAGGCGACGACGGGUAGCCGGCCUGAGAGGGUGACCGGCCACACUGGGACUGAGACACGGCCCAGACUCCUACGGGAGGCAGCAGUGGGGAAUAUUGCACAAUGGGCGGAAGCCUGAUGCAGCGACGCCGCGUGAGGGAUGACGGCCUUCGGGUUGUAAACCUCUUUCAGCACGGAAGAAGCGAAAGUGACGGUACGUGCAGAAGAAGCGCCGGCUAACUACGUG